AUUGAACGCUGGCGGCAGGCUUAACACAUGCAAGUCGAGCGGGGUGAUGGUGCUUGCACUAUCACUUAGCGGCGGACGGGUGAGUAAUGCUUAGGAAUCUGCCUAUUAGUGGGGGACAACAUCUCGAAAGGGAUGCUAAUACCGCAUACGUCCUACGGGAGAAAGCAGGGGAUCACUUGUGACCUUGCGCUAAUAGAUGAGCCUAAGUCGGAUUAGCUAGUUGGUGGGGUAAAGGCCUACCAAGGCGACGAUCUGUAGCGGGUCUGAGAGGAGGAUCCGCCACACUGGGAAUGAGACACGGCCCAAAGUCCUACGGGAGGCAGCAGUGGGGAAUAUUGGACAAUGGGGGGAACCCUGAUCCAGCCAUGCCGCGUGUGUGAAGAAGGCCUUAUGGUUGUAAAGCACUUUAAGCGAGGAGGAGGCUCUUUUGGUUAAUACCCAAGAUGAGUGGACGUUACUCGCAGAAUAAGCACCGGCUAACUCUGUGCCAGCCGCCGCGAUAA
rnacentral:rRNA from 1 species